GCAAAGCACAUGUUCACUUGUUUCAUUGAUGCCAAUAGCAAGGGCAAAAUUAGAAAGCCGACCCUGCCCCACACAGAUUGUCAGUACUGAUGGAGCGCUGUGCGUUUGUUUGCAAUUGAUAAACAAAUAAGCUCCAUGCUUGACAGAUAAUAACAAAAACACAGGGGGUUUGUUUGAGACAAUGAGUGUUGUAGUCAUAUUUCUUCCAACAUUUUUGUACGGAAGUGAUUCAGGACUACUUCAUGGUCUUUAUGUGCAGCAGAACACAGUAAAGGUUUUCUAUGUUACUCAUUUGACUAAAACUUGUCAUUCGGUGUCCAAGACGCCGAAACGGAAAAGAUGUAUUGGCUACUACGCAAGAACUAUUGAUAAUGAAUUUACGACACUUCCAAACGAAAAAGGAAAUUGGCUGAUGUUAAACUUCCAAGAUCAUUCGGUUAUUGUGACAAAAUUAAUAAUAAGUGGGAACCCCGUCACAUUGAUGAAGGGGUGCCGUGUGAUAUGUGUGUUUUAUGACUAUCAUAAAUUUUUUGCUUCAGAAAUCCUUUGUGAAGGACUUGAGAGCACUACUGGCUUCAGUUCGGAUUACUGCAGAUUUUUAGCGAAUUUCUUGAAGUUAGAUUCUGGAUCAAAUGCCCCCGAAAGCCCCAAGUGUUUGGAUUUUUUUGUCAGAGUAGCACAGAGAGCACGGCAAUAUUUGCUAGCUGUGGCCGCUUUUGUGACACCAGUUGUGAGACACACAUCAACAGGUUUACACUUGUGUGACAUCCUUAAUUCAACUGCAUGGCUUUUUGGCCAUGUGGCGCAUUUCAAGAAACCGACACUUAAAAUGGGCAACUUCCUGUUGGCUCUCUUGAUAGAUGUCUUCUGUGGCCUUAUGUUAGUUCGUCUCAUUGUAGAACCGCUUACAGUGAACACUCCAUUUUCGAAAAUGCUUCUUGAUAUGGCUGAGGUCGUUGUCACUACACUCAGAGACUUGUUGCAUUGGCUGAUGGGUGUACCGGCCGGUUUGAAGCUGAACUAUGCAUUAAACAAUAUGCUAGGAAAAUUUUUCCUAUACCACAUAAAUCUUUGGUGGAUGUUUCUUGUUCUUUGUAAACCUUGUUUGGACUUGGCUGUUCAUAUGUUGACAUGGCUUGGAUGUUUAGGACUUACAUUCCAAAUAUGCCUACUGGCUGAUCUGCUAGAUCUUGUCAGUUUUCAUGUAUACUGCAUAUAUGUUUAUGCUGCAAGGCUCUACAGUGUGCAACUGUCAGGUCUUGUUGCUUUGUGGCGGCUUUUCCUUGGCCGCAAGUGGAAUCCGUUGCGAGAGCGUGUUGAUUCCUGCAAAUAUUCGAAUGAUCAACUUUUUGUUGGAACUCUGGCAUUCACCAUUUUGCUCUUCCUUCUCCCAACAACGCUGAUGUACUAUGUUGUCUUCGCAACGUUGCGUUUACUGGUGUUGAUAUUUAGAGGAGUCCUAGCUCAUUUCACUUGGUUACUGCGAGCAUUUCCAGCAUAUUCCACAGUUCUCUGGAUGACAAGAGCAACUACAGUCACAAGCUCCGUGCAGGUUUCAGUAUGUACAGAAAUAUCUGGAAAUGGUCCUCUCUAUCUUGCUGUUGAACCAGUAAUAGGUUCUUGGUGGUCAACGGUAGUUCGCGGUGUUCCUGAUUCGCUGCAACGUCCACCACCUGUGCAGUGGAGUCAGCUACUCAAACACUUAUGCACUGGAAGAUUGGUAUAUCCUGUUUAUAUUUUCUGAAACAGAUACUAUGUAUCUGUUAUUAAUGACUGUGAAAGUGAUGAUCCUGAUUACAAAGACAGUACCCAUCGUCUAAUUUUGGAGAGAAGAUAAGAGCUACACAGAACUGAGAAAAAAGGAACUACCGCCCACAUAUGCAGCUCUUUAGCAAGCAUCACAGACUAAUGAAAGGCCAUGAAGAGACUGACUGCCAGUGCAUUUUAAUAAUCCUUUCCAGCACCAUGGGCUGGCACAAAAGAAAUUGUACAGCUGGUGCCGACAGCUGAAGAAUAUGCUGAUUACUUCAUUACUUCUUGUGGCAUGCAAUCCUAUGAAGUUCAGAGUAUGAACUGCACAUGGAGAAAAAGCUACCAUGGAUAAUGUCUCUAACUUUUUCUUACACACUUUUUAUUUGCCCUGCCAUAUUUGAUCCAUUAUCAAAGCACUGACUACAACAGGGCUGUAA